GCCGGAGUAGCUCAGUGGUAGAGCAACACUUUUGUAAAGUGAAGGUCGGGGGUUCGAAUCCUCUCUCCGGCU
rnacentral:tRNA from 5 species